rnacentral:rRNA from 1 species
UACGUAGGGGGCGAGCGUUGUCCGGAUUUACUGGGCGUAAAGGGUGAGUAGGCGGUUGUAUAUGUCAGGUGUAAAAGGCUAUGGCUUAACCAUGGUUAGCACUUGAAACUGUACAACUUGAGUGCAGGAGAGGUAAGUGGAAUUCCUAGUGUAGCGGUGAAAUGCGUAGAUAUUAGGAGGAACACCAGUGGCGAAGGCGACUUACUGGACUGUAACUGACGCUGAGUCACGAAAGCGUGGGUAGCAAACAGGAUUAGAUACCCCCGUAGUCCCUGAG